CCUGAGUGGGGAGUGGAGACGAUGGUGAGGGAGGAAGAAGGGGCCACAGAGAGAAGGGGGAAGUUUGGAGAGGUAGGGCCUGGAGUGUCCCCAGGCAGCAGCCCCUGGUUUCCUUCCUAGUCACACCUCCACCUCUUUAUUUUUACAUUUCUUUUCAGCUAGAGCACCCCCCACCCCAUCCCUCGUGGCAUCAUCUGAAAGUGUGACCUUCCACCUCAUGGGUUCCAGGAAUCAAACUCAAGUCGUCGGGCUUGGCAGCAAAUGCCUUUACAGGCUAAGCUAUCUUGCUUGGUCCAUCCCUUUUCUUAGUGUUGAAUACGACCAACUUAAGACUUUCAUUCCAGAGCUAAAGGCAGGAGAACCUCUGUGAGUUCCAGGCCAAGGAGCACUUAGUGAGAUCUUGUCUCAAACUAAGAAGAUAAGAAAGCAGUGUGCACGGAGGGCUGGACAGAGCGAUCACCCACUGGAAGCUGAGGCCGAGCCUGUGUGCUGGGAGCUGAGCCCAGGACCUUGUUUUAGGAACGUAUGCUACCACACCCUCAACCUCACAAGUCCUUCUUCCCUCACUUACACACAGGUGGGUCUGCUCUGUCUGCUAAUUUACUCAGUUUUUGUUUGUUCUUUUGAGGACUCUCCAUGUAGUCCUGGCUGCUCUGGAACUCCCUGUGUAGAACAGGCUGUCCUGGAACUCACAGAGGUCUGCCUGCCUCUGCUUCCUGAGUGCCCAAAUUAAAAAAAAAAAAUUUGUAGCUUUUACUUUAAAUUUAUUUAUUUUCUGUGCCACACAUGUUUUGUGUACACGUGACGGAGAAUGGAACUCAGGUUUCAUUCAAAGAUAAGAAACUUUACCCACUGAACUAUUUCUUGAGACCCUAUCCAGCUUUUGACAUUGGAACACAAUGUUGUCAUCUACAAAGUUCAUGCUGGAGACCCAGGCAAUCAAGAUAUAUAUGUAUGUGUGUGUAUAGUCAUUCUCAUAUAUACAUAUACAUAUAUGCAUAUAUUUAUAUAUACAUAUAUUUAUAUAUAUAUAAAUCUUACAGCCAAAUUUAUUCAGAACUAAACCAUUUAUCACCUAUCCUUUACCAAUAUUCAGCUUCCACAUCCCACACCUUUAAUCAGUACAGAAACCUCUCUGUGCCAUUUUCCCAUGCACAGCCAGCCACCAGAGGGUGUCCAGUAGACUAUCCUUCCUAUACAUAAGACCCCUCUUCUGCUCCCAGGUCAUUUGGAAUAAAAGUUGGAGUUCCGCCCCACCUGCAGUCUCCAGGGUCAGGGUUUAGCCCUGUACAUUCCCUGCUCUUAUCUCCUCCCACUUUUCUAUUUACUGUGUUCUGGUUUUUUUUUUUUUUUUUUUUUCUUUCUUGGUUUUUCGAGACAGGGUUUCUCUGUAUAGCCCUGGCUGUCCUGGAACUCACUUUGUAGACCAGGCUGGCCUCGAACUCAGAAAUCCGCCUGCCUCUGCCUCCCAAGUACUGGGAUUAAAGGCGUGCACCACCACUGCUAGGCAUUAAUGUGUUCUGUGACCUUGACCUCUUCAGGACUUCCUAAACUCAUCACUGAGGUCCAGCCUCAGGGCCUUUGUAAGGCUGUUCUCUCUGCCUGGAAUGCUGUUGUGUAACAGAUUCUUUUCAGAUUGAAAUAUUCCUUCCUGCAGGGAAAUUCUUUAAGGCACAAGGUAAACAACUCUAAGUAGCUGAAGGAAGUCCCUGAAACUGAGCAGAUUCACCUAGCCCCUCCUUGCCCGAGUAAGCAGUAAAGACUGCUGAGAGUCUCACUCAGAGGAAUCAAGCUGCUCUGAAGAUCCUGUGUUAAGACAGCUGCUAGAAAAACAGAGUCUAGCAGAACUGCCUCAGUUUAGACCAACUGAGUCACUUGGGAAGGACCCUCUCCAACCUACUGAGCUGCAUACAGGCUGUGCAAUAUGCUCCGGUUUACCAGCUUUUGUGAACUGUCACCUAUGCUGGGGUUAGUUUUGGUGAUGCACUGUCUUUGAGUCAUUUCUGCUUCUUAAGUAAUCCAAAUAAAACUCAUGGUUCACCACGUUG